GUAAUACUAUUUGUAGUCGCUCACUGUUUUAGUUGUUUUAUAUAACAUACAUGUGACAGUUAGUGAUUUGAUACAUUAAUAUGAUAGUUUUUUAUUACUAUGCAACAAAUCACUAACAGUUACAAGUAUGCCAUCACGUAGGACGAUUACGAUAGUAAAUAACUACAAAUAGCAUUAUUCAAAUCUCAAAAGUAUUUUAACUUACAUGCCACCUAGAUGACAAUUCAUAGAACUUAUUAGAGAUGCUCUAAACAAGCUAAUUAAGUGUUUAAUAGCUCAGUACGGAAAGCGUAACUGAAUUAAUUUGGGCGAAAAUUUUUCCACUUACAAGAAUAAACAUAAGAAUUACCCACCAUAAUCACACAUUGAGUAGGAGCACUUAUUUUCCCCAAGACAUUCCUCAAAACAAGCACCACAAUGCAGAGGAUUAUUCCUAAUAUCUACACAAUUUCCAUCACAACAAACAAGCCCAAAUGCACAGACCCGGCCACAUGACCCGCAGUUAUUCGGAUCCUUCAUUAGAUCCUUGCAAAACUUGUGAAAACAACAUGUUUUGGCUGAUCCAAAAUUAGGGUUUUUCUCUGGAUCCAUGCAUACAUUUGGAUCAUUGCCACACCAUAAAACCCUUUUUCUCCCUCUGAAAAAAUUGUAGUGUGUAGGGUUUUUAUCAGAUUCUUGAAUUCUUCUUGUUUCAGAUGAUGCAGCAAAGCCAUUGGAAAUAAUUAUAAUUAAGAAUAAGAUAAGUAAAGGACGAUUUUUGAUGAAGUGGGGUCUUUGAAAUAAGAGAUCGUGAAAAUAUUUUGAGGAAAAAUAAGCAUUAAUCAUGGAAAAGUGAACGAACGAAGUGAGAAUGGGGUUUUGUACACGAUAGAAAAGAGCAUUCUUGGGAGAAAAACAAGCUUGAAGAAGACUGAAAAAGUUAUUGAUAUAUUAUUGAUUAUGAUCUUAUAAAUUAAGUAACAAACUUAGUUGUUUUUCAA
rnacentral:lncRNA from 1 species